AGAGUUUGAUCCUGGCUCAGGAUGAACGCUAGCGGCAGGCUUAACACAUGCAAGUCGAGGGGCAGCAUGUCCAGCAAUGGAUGAUGGCGACCGGCGGAAGGGUGCGCAACGCGUGAGCAACAUGCCCUAUACAGGGAGAUACACCAGGGAAACUUGGUCUAAUAUCCCAUAGCAUUCAUUGAAGGCAUCUUUAAUGAAUUAAAGCUUCGGUGGUAUAGGAUUGGCUCGCGUGACAUUAGCCAGAUGGUGAGGUAACGGCUCACCAUAGCAAUGAUGUCUAGGGGUUUUGAGAGGAAGGCCCCCCACACUGGGACUGAGACACGGCCCAGACUCCUACGGGAGGCAGCAGUGAGGAAUAUUGGACAAUGGAUGGAAAUCUGAUCCAGCCAUGCCGCGUGCAGGAAGACGGCCUUAUGGGUUGUAAACUGCCUUUAUACGGGAGCAAUAAGGGUUACGAGUAAUCCGAUGAGAGUACUGUAUGAAUAAGGAUCGGCUAACUCCGUGCCAGCAGCCGCGGUAAUACGGAGGAUCCGAGCGUUAUCCGGAAUUAUUGGGUUUAAAGGGUGCGUAGGCGGCCAUUUAAGUCAGCGGUGAAAUUUUGCAGCUUAACUGUAACAGUGCCGUUGAUACUGUUUGGCUAGGAUUUGGUUGUAGUGUGCGGAAUGUGUGGUGUAGCGGUGAAAUGCUUAGAUAUCACACAGAACACCGAUUGCGAAGGCAGCACACUAAGUCAUUAUUGACGCUGAGGCACGAAAGUGUGGGGAUCAAACAGGAUUAGAUACCCUGGUAGUCCACACUGUAAACGAUGAUAACUCGCUGUCGGCGAUACACUGUCGGUGGCUAAGCGAAAGCAUUAAGUGUCCCACCUGGGGAGUACGUCGGCAACGAUGAAACUCAAAGGAAUUGACGGGGGCCCGCACAAGCGGAGGAACAUGUGGUUUAAUUCGAUGAUACGCGAGGAACCUUACCCGGGUUUGAAUUGCUGAAUUUGCAUUUGGAGACAUUUGCUUCCCUUUUGGGUUUCAGUGAAGGUGCUGCAUGGUUGUCGUCAGCUCGUGCCGUGAGGUGUCGGCUUAAGUGCCAUAACGAGCGCAACCCUUGCCGUUAGUUGCCAUCGGGUCAUGCCGGGCACUCUAUUGGGACUGCCAUCGUAAGAUGUGAGGAAGGUGGGGAUGACGUCAAAUCAGCACGGCCCUUAUGUCCGGGGCGACACACGUGUUACAAUGGGGGGUACAGCGGGUUGCUACCUGGUGACAGGGUGCUAAUCUUUAAAACCUCUCUCAGUUCGGAUCGGAGUCUGAAACUCGACUCCGUGAAGCUGGAUUCGCUAGUAAUCGCGCAUCAGCCACGGCGCGGUGAAUACGUUCCCGGGCCUUGCACUCACCGCCCGUCA
rnacentral:rRNA from 1 species